UGGGGAAUAUUGGACAAUGGGCGAAAGCCUGAUCUAGCCAUGCCGCGUGGGUGAUGAAGGCCUUAGGGUCGUAAAGCCCUUUCGCUGGGGAAGAUAAUGACGGUACCCAGUAAAGAAGCCCCGGCUAACUCCGUGCCAGCAGCCGCGGUAAUACGGAGGGGGCUAGCGUUGUUCGGAAUGACUGGGCGUAAAGCGCGCGUAGGCGGAUUGGCAAGUUGGGGGUGAAAUCCCGGGGCUCAACCUCGGAAUGGCCUUCAAGACUGCUGGUCUUGAGUUCGAGAGAGGUGAGUGGAAUUCCGAGUGUAGAGGUGAAAUUCGUAGAUAUUCGGAGGAACACCAGUGGCGAAGGCGGCUCACUGGCUCGACACUGACGCUGAGGUGCGAAAGCGUGGGGAGCAAA
rnacentral:rRNA from 1 species